UUACAAGCUGGACGAAGGGCACCCAAUCAGGAUGGUACAAAAACUGACGGACAAACACAUUAAUCUGCCACCCUACACAAACAUGCGAGUGAAGCUGGCAACACAGGUGUUUAGCCACACUGUCUCUGCAGGAAUGCAAACGAUGUGGCAGCUAGGAAACUGCCUAAGGAGGUGGAAUGCACAGCCCUGUUCCCGGAAAAAAUGAACAAGUUGUUUGAUGUUCUGAACUCAAGAUCUUGCUGGGAUAGAAAUUCAUGGAAGAGGGCUCUCAGACAAGAGAACAGCUUAAAGCUGGAUUUCCUUCGGAAGCAAUUUACAUGCAGCAAGUGUAGAAAAGGACAGACUAGAGGAAAAACAGCGAGCUGCAUGCAAAUAACCUUCUAAGGAUGGAGAAGAGUGG